GGCGCCCGGCGUUAGCGGGAGGGACGGACGGACACGGCGAUGCUGCCGUACGAAAUCCUUUUAUUUACUGGAAAAUCACGCGUCUGCUCCACGACGGCGGGGAAAGCGGGCCCGACGGCUGCGUUAGCCUCCGAGGGAGGGAAAAGAGAAAAAAAAGUCAGUAACAGUGAUAGGACAAGACGAAGAGGCUUCACCAGACUGCACAAUCACCAAAAGGCAGAUUGAUUGAUGACACAGUGACAUGCAGAGUACAGGCAGCAGGUGCCUGGAGCUGCAAAUUAUUGAGGAAGAUGAGCAGAGCUCCAGGAUGGACUCCAGGCAGAAUGACUCCAGCUACUGAAUCAGCCACACCAAGAAACAAAAAUGACUAAGAUUGCACCACAGCCUGAGGAAUGCCAUCACAGAGACCUGCUAGAGAUCCUGGAAUCAGAAGGUGACCAGGAAGGUAUGUUGAAGGAACAAAAUAAAUGCUUGUGGUGGUUGACCAGUUUUAGAAAAACCACAUUAGAGCUUCCCGUUCAUCCUGCAGAGCUGGAUGAUAUGUACUACUUUUCAAGAGGACUACUACUUCUCAAGAGGACAGAGGUUUUGAAAAGUAUAACCAGCCUUUCCAGCUUCCUCCAUCUAGGGAGGCUCCACAGGCUUGUGGACACCCAGGUGGCACAUUAACCGCAUUUCAGAGUCAGUCCAGACAAAAGGACAGGAUUUUUGCAAGGAAGUAACUGCUUCAGGGCUAUGCUGGCACUGGGGAGCUGGACCUUUUUUCUGACAUUCACAUCUACAAGUGUUUAAGGAUUUAGUGGCUGAUUACCACCAUGCGCUCUCCUCCAUGCUCUAAAACCUUCCUUUCCACCGCCAGCUGUUCCAGGAUGGUCUUCUGCAGCAAGGGUGCGUUCACUCCUCGUACAACAGCCACUAAUUCCCCUCCCUGAAAGGUGUGAAAAGAAAAUCGGUCAGUAAGUGCUCAAGUGGUGCCCUCUGGGCUCUGGAAAUCACCACAUCACACAUGAUAUUAUGUACCAGGCCCUACUUCAUUCAUACCUUAAUCUCUCAGGUUUUUUGUUGGUUUUGUUCUUUAAUAAAACAAAAUUGCUUUAUUCUGUUUCUUGGUGGUAGGGCAGAAGGUAUUUAAAUGUAAACUCUGGCUGUAUAUUCUUGUCUAUGCAGCACUUGAUCACCAGUGGAUACCAGACACAGAGCAAAUAAAUCUGUGCUGUCUCACAUGAAAGAAAAAGUAUCCCUCAAAAGGACAGUUGUUCCCACCAGCAAGUCAUGUUUAUUGCUAUGCAACUACUAUAAAAAUAGUUUCACUCACUGCAAAAAACAGAAAGACAGGCUCGCAUUUCCCUCUGUAUUUUUCCAGAGCAUCGAUGGAAUCAACUUCAGCCUAAAAGGAAUGUCAAAAAAAACGUGUGUUUCUAGAAAAGCAUUUUUGUGUUGGAGGAACACACAUGCACCUGAAAUCAGGAGGCUGCAAGGAGGGCCAAGCAGGGGCCUCCACCAGCAACCUCACUGCCCACGGCUCCGUCAGCAACCCAGAGCUGCCCUUCAGCCAGGAAAGGCAUUUAACCAGAGGAUCACAGCAUGCCUGAGGCAGGGAGGGACUUCCGAAGGGAAGUCUUCUCUAGUCCAAGAUCCUGCCCAAAGCAGCGCUAGUCCCAGUGUUACAGGAUGCUGUGUUCGUUUUGAGCAUCUCCAGUGCCCCACAGCCUCUCUGGGAGCUCUUCCCUGUGUCCAGUCACUAUGCUGAAUGCUUUUCCCUCCUAUCUACUUGGAUUUUUCCCUGCUGCAAUUGGAUCCUGUUGUCUGUUGUUCUUUUGCUGUGUAGCACUGGGAAAUGUCUCUGUCUUCUCUGUUAAUCCCCUACUGGAGACCUGUCCCUUUGUCCUCUCCAGGGUGAACAAACCCAGCUCCUUCAGAAUCUCCCUGUACAUCAGGACUCAUAUGUCAAUGAUUCUGUCUAGUGCUACUUGCUUAAGAGGAAAUCUGAAAAGUAUUGAACAGUUGAAGCUUGAAAAUUCUUAACAAUAUGGGUUCUUAUGGAUGUAACCAAGUGCCUGUAUUUGGCAGGAUGGAACUCCUGGGCUGUUAUUUUGGCUGAAUAUUGGAAAGAUCAACAACUUCAACCUUUAGUUACCUGCUAAUGCUAAGCAGUGCCAAAUCAGAUCUUACCACAGCAAAAUGCAGGAGAUCACUGCCAACUUCAUUCCUUAAUUUUCGGAAAAGAUCCACUACUGUUUUGCAUGGACCACACCAGGCUUGAAACACAUCAACAACUGCAAGCAGGAAAAUUAGUAAGAAUUAGGUCCAAAUGGGCCAGUUUAGACAUAGACCAACAGAUUGGUUUCUGCACUUUCCCGCUUUGCAGCGUCAUCAUUUGGAAGGGGACUGCAGAAGGGUGGUACGGCGAUAAGAAGAGUCUUGAGAACCUCUGAGGACUGAGGUCUCCUCCUCAGUGACCUCUGCAGCACCACCCCGGGGAAGGAGAUUUGCCUCAUGUCCAACCACAACAUCCUGAGCUGCAGCUCCCAUAGGUCUGUCUGGAGCAUGGAAAGACUCCUGGUGAGCACUAGAAGGGCUCUGGGUUCAGUAGUAAUUGAUUCCUAACAGUACUGGUGCCCUUUAAACACAACAAAAGCCAUUUAUUAUGUUGACCAAACCCUUACCAAUGAGUCCUUUGAGACACAGCAUUUCUUCCCACAGCUCCUGGUUAUUGAUGUUAAUCUGUGUGAAAAUGUAAAAACACAGUAAAAGCAACAUUAAGAUA